UGGGGAAUAUUGCACAAUGGGCGAAAGCCUGAUGCAGCGACGCCGCGUGAGGGAUGACGGCCUUCGGGUUGUAAACCUCUUUCAGCAGGGACGAAGCGUAAGUGACGGUACCUGCAGAAGAAGCACCGGAUAACUACGUGCCAGCAGCCGCGGUAAUACGUAGGGUGCAAGCGUUGUCCGGAAUUACUGGGCGUAAAGAGUUCGUAGGCGGUUUGUCGCGUCGUUUGUGAAAACCAGCAGCUCAACUGCUGGCUUGCAGGCGAUACGGGCAGACUUGAGUACUGCAGGGGGGACUGGAAUUCCUGGUGUAGCGGUGAAAUGCGCAGAUAUCAGGAGGAACACCGGUGGCGAAGGCGGGUCUCUGGGCAGUAACUGACGCUGAGGAACGAAAGCGUGGGUAGCGAACAGG
rnacentral:rRNA from 1 species